rnacentral:rRNA from 1 species
UCAGUCGACUCCUACGGGGAGGCAGCAGUGGGGGAAUAUUGCACAAUGGGCGCAAGCCUGAUGCAGCCAUGCCGCGUGUAUGAAGAAGGCCUUCGGGUUGUAAAGUACUUUCAGCAGUGAGGAAGGCAGGUACGUUAAUAGCGUGCUUGUUUGACGUUAGCUGCAGAAGAAGCACCGGCUAACUCCGUGCCAGCAGCCGCGGUAAUACGGAGGGUGCGAGCGUUAAUCGGAAUUACUGGGCGUAAAGCGCAUGCAGGUGGUUUGUUAAGUCAGAUGUGAAAGCCCGGGGCUCAACCUCGGAAUUGCAUUUGAAACUGGCAGACUAGAGUACUGUAGAGGGGGGUAGGAAUUUCAGGUGUAGCGGUGAAAUGCGUAGAGAUCUGAAGGAAUACCGGUGGCGAAGGCGGCCCCCUGGACAGAUACUGACACUCAGAUGCGAAGGCGUGGGGAGCAAACAGGAUUAGAUACCCUGGUAG